UACGUAGGGGGCUAGCGUUGUCCGGAAUCAUUGGGCGUAAAGAGCGUGUAGGCGGUCCGGUAAGUCCGCUGUGAAAGUCGGGGGCUCAACCCUCGAAUGCCGGUGGAUACUGUCGGGCUAGAGUACGGAAGAGGCGAGUGGAAUUCCUGGUGUAGCGGUGAAAUGCGCAGAUAUCAAGGAGGAACACCGUAGUGCGAAGGCGGCUC
rnacentral:rRNA from 1 species